CCUCCGGGAGGCAGCAGUGGGGAAUAUUGCGCAAUGGGCGAAAGCCUGACGCAGCGACGCCGCGUGAGGGAUGAAGGUCUUCGGAUCGUAAACCUCUGUCAGCAGGGAAGAACGGUCACUGUGUUAAUCAGUAGUGAAUUGACGGUACCUGCAAAGGAACCACCGGCUAACUCCGUGCCAGCAGCCGCGGUAAUACGGAGGGUGCGAGUGUUAAUCGGAUUUACUGGGCGUAAAGGGUGUGCAGGCGGUUUUGCAAGCUGGACGUGAAAGCCCCGGGCUUAACCUGGGAAAGCCAUACGUGACUGCAUGACUAGAGUGCGUCAGAGGGAGGUGGAAUUCCAAGUGUAGCAGUGAAAUGCGUAGAUAUUUGGAAGAACACCGGUGGCGAAGGCAGCCCCCUGGAACGCAACUGACGCUCAUACACGAAAGCGUGGGGAGCAAACAGGAUUAGAUACCCUUGUAGUC
rnacentral:rRNA from 1 species